UACGGAGGAUGCGAGCGUUAUCCGGAUUUAUUGGGUUUAAAGGGUGCGUAGGCGGAUUUUUAAGUCAGCGGUAAAAUGUCCGGGCUCAACCCGGGCCGGCCGUUGAAACUGGGGAUCUUGAGUGGGCGAGGAGUAUGCGGAAUGCGUGGUGUAGCGGUGAAAUGCAUAGAUAUCACGCAGAACUCCGAUUGCGAAGGCAGCAUACCGGCGCCCGACUGACGCUGAGGCACGAAAGCGUGGGGAUCGAACAGG
rnacentral:rRNA from 1 species